GGGCGAGUGGCGGAAUUGGCAGACGCACGGGACUCAAAAUCCCGCGAUGGCAACAUCAUGAGGGUUCGACCCCCUCCUCGCCCA
rnacentral:tRNA from 1 species